AGUUAGUAUAGUAUAUAAAAAAACGUAUAGGGCUCAGACUGACAUCUUGUGAUUGUUGUUUUUAGCACUCGUUUAUACUCCUGUGGAACUGUCAUCUUUCUAUUUUUACUUGCUGAAUAUUAUGGUUAGUGACGUGUUAAGGGUUAGUGACGUGUUAAGCCCCUGAUUACAGAGUUAUUUGAAAUUAUAGUUUUCCAAAAAUUAAAGAAAAAAUAUAUCAAGAAAGGCAGAAGAUUGAGGAUGGAAGAGAGGGAAGAAGGUGAGUAUGAUUAUCUUAGAAUUAUACCUAUGAAAUACACGAGAUCUGUUCCCUGGGAAGCAGCAGGUGACGGCUCCAGUAGUGGGGUCACUGUCACCCAUGUGGGAGACCUAAAAUGAGUUUCCAGGUUUCAGUUCUGGUUUGGCUCUGCCUAAGACCACCAAAAGCAUUUGGAGAAUGAUUAAAAAAAGAAAACUCUAUCUUUCUCUCAUAAAUGAAAUAAACAUAUCAUCCCGGUAUUUCACACCCUCAGGACUUUCCAAUAUAUCCGAUAAAUGGAUAAAUGAGUAGUCACACAAUUACAUAUGUUAGAAUGAAAGCACUUCACAAAACUGACAUCAUAAUGCUCCCAAGGAAAGCCAGGUAAUAUUGUUCUGUAUUUUGUACAUGAGCUCAUUAAUAACCAAGGAUGGAAGAUUUUGCCAAAGGAAUAGAGGUAGUACAAAUAAGCAGAAAAUUAUAAUCCUGAUACCUUGUUUCUUUAGACAAUCUUCACACUCUACUAGACGAUGGCCAAGCUCCCAAAGUGGAGAGUUAGCAUGCAAUUCAUCACUGAGUUUGGAGUCAGACUGCCUGGUUUGGGACACUUACUAACCAGAAAUGUAUUUGUCGGAAACAGCACAGAGAGAAGAAAGCAUUACUCUGUAACAACCAGUGCAUUACACAGAAAGUUACUGUAUUUCUCAGCAUCUGUAAGUUUGUAUUCAUUAUCUUUGUUAGCUAUUGGGAAUAAAAAUAAUGGUAAAUAGAACGAUGCAGUUGAUUAAUAUUCCACAUUCCAGCAUGUGGGUUUCCGUGAUAAUGACAGAAUGAGUGAAAUGAUUUUCAAUUCUACAUCAACCUUUUGUAAGGAUGUAAAAAUUCUGAGUUAUUAACUCAUGAACCAUGGUGGAGUAAGGAAGUGGCUGUCUCUCUGCAACACAGAAAUGCAAAAAGAGCCAACAAAACCUAUCACCUGCAGGAGGACUGAGAAGCAGAACAGAGUAUUUCUCUUACCUUUCUUGUCUAAAUGGUAAAUUUGUGGGCAGAAAUUGAACAUUAAAAUUUGGACUACACACUAGUUAGAAACAUGUGUUAACAGUAAAUUGUUUCAAAGUUUUACCAGGCUUGUUUUUAUAUGCUUCAUUUUGCUGAUUAUAUGGUGAUACUUCAUUUUCAAAUCAUCAAUGUCAGACCUAUAUAAAACUGAGUGAAUUUGUCUUUUCAAGUAUUGUUCUUGAAAUGAAAAAAGAUUUAUAGUCAAAAAGAUGUUUCAGAGACUGCUAACUGACCCGCAAUAUUCACUUCACACCCCACCCCAGCUCCACCCCCGCUACUUACUUCCUUUUGAUAAUAGAAUCUCCAAUUUCAGCUGGCAAAGGACUCUCAGACACAAGAAAUACGUACUGCUUCCCUUGUGCUUUGUCAUGGUGUUAUGAUCAAAUUUGGGCAAAAGAACUGAAAUGAUGCACACAACUUCUUGGCUGCAUCCUAAAAUGAUGUGGCUUGCCCUGAAGUUUUAAUUUCUUUCUUGUCAUGUACUAGAUUGCUAAUGGGAGACUGCUGAAUCAGAUUCACCUAUGAGAGCAAGGAGAACACCCACAGAGAUGGGAACACAAUAAGAGAAUAAUUCUAGACGUUUGGAUGUUCUGAGAAAAAAAUCAGUUGGAAUAAUCCAUGAGCUUUACUUCUUAAUUACAGGCAUAUAAACCCCCUCAUAAAUCUUUUUAUUUUAUUUCUAAAAAGUGACUAUUAUUUGAGCUCUGUUAC
rnacentral:lncRNA from 1 species